rnacentral:rRNA from 1 species
AUUGAACGCUGGCGGAAUGCUUUACACAUGCAAGUCGAACGGCAGCACGGGGGCAACCCUGGUGGCGAGUGGCGAACGGGUGAGUAAUACAUCGGAACGUGCCCAGUCGUGGGGGAUAACGCAGCGAAAGCUGUGCUAAUACCGCAUACGAUCUACGGAUGAAAGCGGGGGAUCGCAAGACCUCGCGCGAUUGGAGCGGCCGAUGGCAGAUUAGGGAGGUGGUGGGGUAAAGGCUCACCAAGGCUGCGAUUUGUAGCUGGUCUGAGAGGAUGACCAGGCACACUGGGACUGAGAACCGGCCCAGACUCCUACGGGAGGCAGCAGUGGGGAAUAUUGGACAAUGGGGGCAACCCUGAUCCAGCGAUACCGCGUGUGUGAAGAAGGCCUUCGGGUUGUAAAGCACUUUAGGUGGGGAAGAAAAGUAUAUUGUGAAUAACAGUAUGCGCUGACGGUACCCGCAGAAUAAGCACCGGCUAACUCUGUGCCAGCAGCCGCCGCGG